GACGUAGGGCGCGAGCGUUGUCCGGAUUUAUUGGGCGUAAAGAGCUCGUAGGCGGCUUGUCGCGUCGGCUGUGAAAUCCCGUGGCUCAACUGCGGGUCUGCAGCCGAUACGGGCAGGCUAGAGUUCGGUAGGGGAGACUGGAAUUCCUGGUGUAGCGGUGAAAUGCGCAGAUAUCAGGAAGAACACCCGUGGCGAAGGCGGUUCUCUGGGACGGUACUGACGCUGAGACGCGAAAGCGUGGGGAGCGAACAGG
rnacentral:rRNA from 1 species